rnacentral:rRNA from 1 species
AUUGAACGCUGGCGGCAGGCCUAACACAUGCAAGUCGAGCGGUAACACAGGGAGCUUGCUCCUGGGUGACGAGCGGCGGACGGGUGAGUAAUGUCUGGGAAACUGCCUGCUGGAGGGGGAUAACUACUGGAAACGGUAGCUAAUACCGCAUAACGUCGCAAGACCAAAGAGGGGGACCUUCGGGCCUCUUGCCAUCAGAUGUGCCCAGAUGUGAUUAGCUAGUAGGUGGGGUAACGGCUCACCUAGGCGACGAUCCCUAGCUGGUCUGAGAGGAUAACCAGCCACACUUGUACUGAGACACGGUCGCGACUCCUACGGUAGGCAGCAGUGGGGAAUAUUGCACAAGUGGCGCAAGCCUGAUGCGGCCAUGCCGCGUGUAUGAAAAAGGCCUUCGGGUUGUAAAGUACUUUCAGCGGGGGGGAAGGCGACAAGGUUAAUAACCUUGUCGAUUGACGUUACCCGCAGAAGAAGCACCGUCUAACUCCGUGCCAGCCGCCGCCGCAG